rnacentral:rRNA from 1 species
GUGCACCAGGCGCGAAAACUUUACAAUGUGCGAAAGCACGAUAAGGGAACUCUGAGUGCCUCCUAAGGAGGUUGUUCAGGUGUCUAAAAAGCACCUGAAGGAAGGGCUGGGUAAGACCGGUGCCAGCCGCCGCGGUAACACCGGCAGCCCAAGUGGUAGCCACGUUUAUUGGGUCCAAAGCGUCCGUAGCCGGCUGGGUAAGUUCCUUGGGAAAUUUGGCUGCUUAACAGUCAAGCUUUCAGGGAAUACUGCCCGGCUUGGGACCGGGAGAGGUCAGAGGUACUCCAGGGGUAGGGGUGAAAUCCAUUAAUCCUUGGGGGACCACCGGUAGCGAAGGCGUCUGACCAGACCGGGUCCGACGGUGAGGGACGAAGGCUAGGGGCGCGAACC